ensembl:lncRNA
AAGCUUAUGAGAUUUUACUAUUCUUAGUUAAAGCAUUUACUUUCAUCUUCAAUCACUAGAGAAUAAUGAUGAAUAUUGACACAGUUGAGCCCAUUAAUACAGAGGAUACAAUAAAGAAUGCAAGUAAACAAAAUUCUAAACUGGUCACAAAAACAUUGAAAAGAUUGACAUACUCAUAGCACAUACAACUGAAGAAUAUACAAUGUAACAUUACAUUUUUAGAAUUUCUGUAUUAUUUCUGUUCCUUUAGGUAGAGUGGAAACAAUUAACAUUUGAAGCUAAGCACAAGGAGCUAUAUUUUGUUGGAUAUAUUUCUUAGGAUUAUUGGUUUAAAUAAUAGAAGUAGUUAUAUAAUACACUUUCAGUCAAACUGUCAAUCAAAGAUAGUGUGUGCUCAUUUAUGACCCUUUGUGCUUCUCUGGCUGACAUUUCUGUAGGUAACCUAAUUUAUGACCAGGGUGGGGGUAGCCCUAUCGACUGUAUCAGUGGGUCAUUCUGGCACCUGUGUGUCGGGAUCUGUGGGGUGUGGGGGAGUAGUCCCCAACAAAUGUGUUUGUUAAUGUUGUGAAACCUGUUUCUCCCAGUAGUAAUCACACACAAUGUAUACCACAAUGUAUUUUUCGUGGUAUAAGAGAAUGUUUGUUUCUGAAAUUACUUUUUGUGGUAUUGUUUUAUUUGUAGCUUAAGGAUGUUUGGGUGAAAUACGUCUGAAAAAGUGUAUCAAAUGGUUAAUAUUGGGUAUACGUUUGUGUGGGGGAUUUCGUUUAUGUAACCACAUUGUUAGAAAAAGCAUGAUGUUUGAAUGUGUACAUAUAUGAGCAGAAUAUUUGUUUGUGAAACAAAUGAAAACAAAUGUUGAUUACGUUUUUUGGGAGACUGGUUUGACUUGGAAUAAAAAUUUAGGAGGUAAAACAUUUUUUUUUUUUAAAAGAAUCUGUUUAAAAGAAUCAUACGUAUUACAUGUCUUCCAAACAUAAACCUUUAGGAAGUAAAAAUGAGUAAAAGAGCUGUUUAAAAGAAUCCGUAAUACAUGUUUUCCAAAAACAUAACCCUUAUGAGAUAAAAACAAACUGUGGGGAAACAGUUUGUAAUCAAAGAACAGUAAUUAAAUCUAGAAAAUGCGAUGACGACGGUUUGUGUUCCUUUGAACAGUGUGGUAACAUGGAAACAUUACAGUAUUUAAUUCAGACAAUGGAGGAUCUGAAUAGAUCUGAGUCUACCACUGAUACGUUGUUGGAAUUAUUAAACAUUGCGAGAUCAGUGGCAGACGAUCAAGCAGAAUCAAUUCCUCUUCAUCAACUUCAUCAUUAGAACAUGCUUCAAAUUCACAACAGGUGGGGAGGGGUUCAGACAGCGAAUCGUAUCAUACGUUUAAUCCUUUGGAGCCAAAUUUUGGGUUAUCCGCAUCCGCUAUUGAUUCUAUUGUAAGAGAGGGUGGCGAUAUUGGUGGUUGUACAGUGGUAGCGAGACUCAGAUUUAAUAGUUUGGAGAUACGGCGUCAUAUAAAUGUGUGUGAUAAACGCCCCAGACCUGGCUGCGUACACAAUAUUUCUGCAUGGUGUCAUGGAUGAAAUACUGUCAUUUUCCAGACUGCUGGCCAGUGAUGGGGGUUUAAUCAACAUAACAUUGAGAGGCCCUAGUCUACCCUCUGAUGUUAACGCUGUCUUGUGUGCGUGUUCACAAACCAGAUUGAGAACAUUAUGCAAAGCAAUUCUAAUGUGCGAGCUGAUGACAGUUUGGAUCUAAAUGUGUCUAUAGCUCAUGGUAAACACGGUGGUGCUUAUCGAAAGAUACGUGAUCUAGCCCAUAACGAAGUGGUUGCCAUAAACAGAAUGAAUCUGUUUUGUCCCAGCAAUAUAUCUAACAAUCUGUGUUUUGCAAUCUGUCUGGCCCAUUUUCUACAUCACAAAUGUCGUGUACUGAUCUAGAACUGAUAGCCGAGUCUCUGCAGGACACUGCGGGGUAUUCAGUACAGCAAAAGAUAGGGUUUAAUGACAUUACAGAGUUUGAACAGUUGUUACACAUUAAAAUAGUGGUGUUACAUAGAACAUGUACUGGUAUGUUGGAACGGUAUACGUCCAGUGACGUGCCCCAUAACAAGACCAUGUUCUUGUAUCUGCACAACGAACAUUAUUUCAUGAUUAAGAACCUAAAAGCGUUCAUAGGUACUCCAUACGUGUGUGACUACUGCCACCAUGGAUUUACUAGCCGUAGAGACCAUAGGUGUAAAUACAUUUGCAAUGUUUGUAAUGCACCUGAUUAUCAUAAAUACGCUGUCAAAACGAGGCAAUGUCACGAUUGUUUGCGAUACUGCAGAUCUGCUGUGAUGUCACAAAACUGUCACUGUCAGAAAUGUAAUAGGCGAUAUCAUGUCAAUGGAGCCACCCCAAAACAACACGUGUGUGCAGCAGAACUUUGUAUCCAUUGUGGCAUGGAAUCGGUUAAUGACUGUGUACACCAGUGUUUUAUACAGCCAAUAAAACUCGAGCCACCUAGCGACAAAUACAUAUACUAUAAUUUUGAGACACGACACGUAGAUGGUAAACACGUUGCAAACUUCAUAUACGUGAUUACGUUUAAAGGGGAAGAGUUCACAGCUGCUGGUACAGACUAUAUAGAUCAACUUUUAGACAAAGUUUAGAUCAAAGUUUAGACAGCCUCAUUAUCAGAAUUUCACAUGUGUUGCACACAUUGCUUCAGGGUUUUACAACUUUAUAUUUUUGGAAUAUUUCACAAAAGCAGGGCUAACACUUCAAAUUAUUAUGCAAGGCUGUCCGAUCAUUUUAAUGCUUAAUGCUUUCCCGGACAAGACAUUCAAGCACCGUUUCAUUGAUAACUACUCAUUCAUCCCUAUGCGUCUGGCUGUGACGUCCACUGCGUUAAAUCUAACCUGUUCUGAGAGGUCAUUUUCCAUACCUAUUCAGUAGAAUAGAAAAUGAAGACUACAUAGGACCAUACCUGGCUAUGAGACAAUGACUACGUUUACAUGGACAGCAGUAAUCUAAUUAUUGACCUUACUCUGAGUACUCUGUGAUUAAGGUGUUUACAUGAGUUACUUUUAGAAUACUCCUGUCAUGUUCCCAUUUUACAUGUUAUAAAACAUAGUUCAAUUAACAGCAUGUGUCAUUACGUCACCACACCACGCUGUCCGACGUUUCCUCCAGAAUUUCAUGUAUUAACAUACAGCUCAUCUUCGUUAUGGUACCGUAUACAGUUUUGGGUGUUUAAUUUUUUAUUUUAUGAAAGCUUCAAGUGCAGUUAAUCAUUUGUCAUGCUGUACGUGCAAAUAGAUGACGGCGGAUACAAAUUCUCCAGCAACAGGCCUCCUCUGUACUUUCAUUCGGCAACAGUGGUAGUGGUCCUGUACCAGCUCGGUAGCUGCGGGGAAUACCGAGUAAGAGCUAAUCAAUUUGGCGUGCACAAGUGCACGGUCAAGAAGUUUGUGUACAUGGUUUGCAAAGGAAUGCUAUCCUAUGCAAAAAAUCUAAUCCAGGUUCCUAGUCUGGAGGAGGCAAAUGCAAUUGCUUACCGAUUCGAAAUGGAACAUCACAUACCACAGAUAAUCGGAUGCGUUGGCGGGACGCACAUUCCCAUACUUCCGCCAAAAGAUGGAUAUAGGGACUUUGUUAUCGUAAAGGAUGGCCCUCAUACGUGCUUCAGGCAGUCGUGGAUGACCAAUAUUGCUUUUGGAGUGUCAAUUGCCAAGUUCCUGGGAGUGCACAUGAUGUCAAUGUACUGUGGCAAUCACAGCUAUGCAAAAGGCCCAUCUACUCCCCAGGGGAGUGAGGGUGAUUCAGGGGAAACCUGUGCAUUUCUUUCUCCUCGGAGAUCCAGCUUAUCCACUCAUGGACUGACUGAUGAAGUGUUACCCACAGUCUCUAGGCCUAACACCUGAACAAGAGUCGUUCAAUGUUCACCUCAGCUCAACAAGAACAACAGUGGAGAUUGCUUUUGAGAGACUGAAGUCUAGGUGGAGGGUGCUCCUGAAAUGCAGUGAUAUUUUCACUUCACUUUCUCACCUUGCAUGAUUACAUGUUGUGCACUGCACAAUUUUUGUGAACGAGAAAAGGAGAAGGUCCCCCAAUGCUGGAUGGAGGAGGCAACAGUUAUGGAGAGAGCCUUACCCCAGCCCCACAGUGCACCACAGAACCAGCACAGAUGCUUAUGUCAUGAGAGAUGCAUUAUCACCAUACAUGGCAGCAACAUUUCCCCUUUGGAGGAGUAUACAUUAGGCACAAGUGGUUAACAUUCAGCAUAUUUGCUUGCUUUGAGGAGCUUGGAAAGUCACACUUCUUAGUAUUUGUUCAACGUUAUUAUCUCCAGUCUGUGAUGUUAACUGCAUUCAAGAAGUUAUUUUAUGAAGAAGUGCUGCACUUUUUAUUUUAAUGUGAACUAGGCAAUUUCUUUAAGUUUCUGUUGGGUUUUGUAUGCCUUAAUUCCAGGAACACUGCACACAGGUUUGAAGUGCAAAAAAGGACACAACAAAAAGGAUAAUAAGAAAGGGACCUCUUCAAGUUCUGCUCACUUAUGGUAAAUAUUACUUUACAAAAAAUAGAGGUUUAAUUAAAAAAAAACAUUUCAACCCCAUCCAGGGUGUACCCUGCCUUGUGCCCCAUGCUCCCUUAGGUUGGCUCCAGGUAUCUCAUGACCCUGUAGGAUGGACAGAAACUGGAUGGAUGAAUUUUUUAAAUUUUUUUAUUUAGUUAUUUUUUUUCAAAAAAUGAAAGGUUUCACUUACUAACAAAUUUAUAUAACAAAAGACAAGGCACAUUCUUUCCUGUAACACAGGCAAAUAUGAGGUAGGCAAACACAUCUAAACUCAAGUCAAUACAGGCAUUCACAAAGUAUUUUACAUAAGCAGGUUUUCUGCUACCUAAUGGCAGGCUGCUCACAGGUGAGUAUAUGAUCGAGCAUAUUCAUUUGCUUCUUCUGACCCAUGUUCAGCAGUGGAUGUGUUUGACACAGUAGAACCAUGCAGGGUAUAGUUAGAUGGCUGUGUGUGAUACCCUUGAAAGUGUGGGGGGGUGCAGUGAAGGAGGUGCAAACAUUGGAUGUGGGUGCUUUGGAAUCCCUCAACAAGUAUUGAUAUAAUGUGCUCGGUGGAACGGACAUUGCUCUCAAUUAAAGCACUAAGGAGUCUCUCCUCCCUUUGCUCGGAUUGCUGGAUUUGGUCUUGAACCCAUUAAUUUUAUUGCCUCAUCAUCUGUAUCAUGAACUGCUGAUGCUGAGAGAUCACAGUGCAUCUCGCAGAUUUCUUUCUUCGAGAGUAACCUAUGUUAUAUAUGUUACCAUUAAAAAAAAAAUAGAAAUGUCAGUUGAAGUGACAGGCUUUGAUAGCAAUAAAAUUGCUAGAAGUCUUAGAAAAUGAAAAAAAUGAUAUUUUUAAGUGUCUCCAUGUUCUACAUUAAUCAUAUUUUAAAUGUUGGGACAAAUAUGUGCAGCAUACAGUAGCUAGCCUAUGUAACAACUACUGAACCUGAUGAGUCAAACCAAUACAUACCUACAAAGAAUUGUCUUAUACAUAUACGUAUACAUACAUACAUACAUACAUACAUAGUGCCUAUUUAAUGGAAAUAGCAUUUACAUCAAAAACAUGUCACCUUGUGUCCUGGGUGGGUCGACAUCUGGUGCUGUGGCUGAAAAGCUUUCCUCUUGAGUACCAGAUGUAUCAGCUGAUUAUGCCUUAUCUUCAUCUGCAUCCUCGUUCAUUUCCUCCUGGUGAGAUAGAGAACUCGCUUCAUCCCCAACGAUACGAAUUCAAUGGUUGUAUGUUUCACGGGCAUGAUUGGCAGGCAUGUAAUCCCAACCAUUUACAUCCGUUAUCAAAAGUGCCCUACGGCUUGCUCGGAAGACAAUUUGAUGACAAAGUCGAAAUAUUAUAAAAAGCGUAUGGUCUGGAUGUUGAGGCAAUGUGGGAGUGUGAUUGGUAUAACGCUAAACAGACCGAUGUCGAUGUAAUGGCCUUUAUGACCACUUACACACAUCCUGAAAGACUGAAACUGUGCAACGCUCUAUUUUGUGGUCAUACUAACUAAUAGAAAUUGUAUCACAAAGCCGACAUUAGUGAAAAAAUAUGAUAUGUUGACUUUACAAGCUUGUAUCCCUUUUGCCAGGCCAAAAAAUGUUACCCCAUAGGACUUCCCCAAAUAAUUUUCAAGGAUUUUGAACCUCUUGAAAAUUAUUAUGGAUUUGUCAAAGCUACAGUGCUGCUACCACAAAAACUGCUUCACCCCAUCCUUCCCUAUAGGACUGGUGGUAAGCUUAUGUUUCCACUCUGUCGUACAUGCACAGAAAAGCAGAAUCAGACAGACCUGUGUGGACACACUGAUGAGGAAAGCAAUAUCAGGCUGUUGGGUCAGCAUCGAACUAUUGAAAGGUGUGGAAAAGGGUUACUUUGUAAUGAAAGUUACCUUUUCCACAACGGUCAGAAACUUUGUUUUGUGACUAUGUUAAAACAUUUUUACAAUACAAACAAGAGGCCAGUGGGUUCCCCGCUCAUGUUGUGACAGAUGCUGACAAGGAAUCCUACGUCUCUGAUUACUUUGAGAAAGAGGGGAUUAAGAUGCAUGUUGAUAAGUUAAGUCAUAACCCAGCACGGCGUUCUAUUAACAAACUUCUGCUGAACUCAUUUCUGGGUCGUUUCUUGAUGCGUGAAAACUUGCCGUGUACAGAACUAAUUUCCGGCCCAGAACAGUUUACACAACAUAUGGUUAUGACGUUAAACACUUUUCAUUCAUGUCAGACUGCGUAGCACUAAUUUAGUGGUGUUAUUGGGAAAGGGGGUCAGACUUGACAUUAACCUCCUUCUUGGUGCGUUUACAACCGCUCAUGCGCGUCUAGAGCUGUAUGAGUUAAUGGACAAACUGGGUGAUAGGUUGUUGCACAGUUCUUGUGAUGUCAUUUUGCUUCUAUUAGAAUCUGCUGGGCCUAUGUAAAUGAUUCGUAGCAGUUAGAAACAGAAAUCCAAUGGCAGUUUUCUGGCUAGGAUUAAGUGUUGUAUGUGCUGUUUUUUAACCUGGUGAUGUCCUAAUGAAAUGCUUUAUUUUUCACUGACAUGAUAAACAUUCUGAAGACUUAAGAAGUUACUAUUUUGAAUGUUUGGUUAGAUGUAGGCUUUGAUUAGAGAUAGAUAUGGGCUAUAAACUGUAUUAAAACCUGUUAUGCCCCUACUUUUUCACAAAGUAGAGCUGAAAACUUUACAAUGUACAUCUGUUCCAUUUGAUUUUUUGUUGUUAUUAUUAAAUGGUAAUUGAUUUUUUCUUUCUUUCUUUCUUUUUUUUUUUUUUAGAACCAUAUGCCACUUUGCUCUUUUAUACUGCAUGGGCAAAAACAAAUAAACCAACAAAUAAAUAAAUAAAAAAAACAUCUGGUGGAUAAAGUAGAUAGGCUUAAUCACCAUUCCCUGAGCCAGAUUACUACUGUAGUUUCACAAUCACUUCUAGAGUUAGUCAAAUGCUGCUUCUUUUGACACUGAUUUGCAAGCUUAGGGGGCUUUGUUUGGAAACCCAGUUCUGGAAUGUGUUUAAUUGCUUUUUUAUUUCCACAAAGUGAAACUGCUUUAGACAAACACAAGGUUCUUAAUUUACUGCCAUUGUUACCCAACGAGACUGGGACAGGAAGUAAGUGCAGGAUCAAAGUCUUCAUUAUCCACUAAAGUCAAUAUACACGAUACAGGAAAUGAGGUCAAAACAUAAACUAGAAUUGAGGCAUGAAACAAGAAACUAGAACUUGACUUUGAAACAAUACUGCGUAGCACCGGGGCAGGGUUAGAAAUGGGUAAGAUGGGUAAUGGUGUCAUGCGGUGUGUUUUCCAUGCACAACAAGGGCUGUGCAUGGAAAACACACCGCAUGACACCAUUACCCAUCUAACCCAUUUCUAACACUGCCCCGGCGGGAAUCAAACCCCAGACCCUGGAGGUGCGAGGCACACAUGCUAACCACUAAGCCACCAUGCGCCCGACGCCAUCAACCCAACACAGUAACUAGACCUGAGGCGCGAAACAUGAAACCAAACAUGUAACCUGCAUCACGUUUUUGUUUAAUGAGCACUCGUGUAUAUAUAGUGCCACUGUUUGCACUGAUUCUUUUUCUCACAUAAUUGUCUUAGACUACCGUGUUCCAUGUUACCGUGUUUUGGUCUUGUAGUUUAUUGUGUAGUCUGUACCACAGUGUUUUGCAUCAGUCUAAAUAUCCUUUGUGUUUUGGUUGGUUUAUAUAAUAAAACGUUGAAAAUCUGAGAUUGCUUCCGCACACAUCUUUGAGACGUGACAGAAUGUGAGACCUACAACAGAAGCAGCGGAUCAUCAUUAAGUACCUGGGCUUUGAUCUUCCACCUAUGUUCAUGGAGAACUGUGCCGCGCCACGACAACAGGAGGUGGAGUGCCAAGCUGCGCCGCAUACGCAGCAGAUCUCCAUGAAGUAUCUGGGCUUCACUCUAACACCUGUGUUCGCAGAGGACUACGCCACGCCAUGCCAACAGGAGGAGGAGUCCAGGUACAAGUGGGAGUCUGUAGUCGGGGCUAGUGCCAUCUCCCACCCUCCCUCCCCUAUAAUGGAUCCAGGUCAGCAAACGGAGUCAGCGGAGAAUGAAAGUCAGCCUCCCUGCUCAUCUGAGGAUGCCACUCUGCUUUUUGGGUCAGCUGAGGAUGCCUCUCAGUCACCCAGGCUGGCUGAAGACGUUGCUUCCCCUCUGUUCGCCAAUUCCGUGUACAACGCCUCUGUGCUUGCCUGCUCAGCUGAGGACAUCACUCUGCCUUCCUGCUCGGCUGAGGACGUCGCUCUGCCUUCCUGCUCGGCUGAGGACACCGCUCAGCCUUUCUGUUUGGCUGAGGACGUUGCUCUGUCUUUCUGUUCAGCUGAGGACGUCGCUCUGCCUUCCUGCUCGGCUGAGGACGCCGUUCUGCCUACCUGCUCAGCUGAGGACUUCGCUCUUCCUUCCUGCUCGGCUGAGGUCAUCACUCUGCCAUCCUGCUUUGCUGAGGAGGUGGCUCUGCCUCCAUGUUCCACUGAAGACGCCGUUCCUCUUCUUUGCUGCGCGCCGUAUGUCACUCCCCCUUCCUGCUCCACAGAGGACACUGUUUCCCCCUCGUGCUCCACGGAGAGCAUCGUUCCUCCCUCGGGCCUCGUGGAUAACCUCGCUCCCCUCUCCUGUCCUGCGGAGGAAGUUGUCCUGCUGUCCUACCCUGCAGACGUUGCUCUGAGCUCCAGCCCCACUGAAGACGUCGCUCUGAGCUCCAGCCCUGCUGAGGACGUUGCUCUGCUUACCUGUGACACUGAGGAAGGUGCGUUGCAUUCUUGCUCCACUGAGGAUGCCGCUCAGUCUCCUAGUUUUGCUGGGGACAUUUUGCCCAGGGGGCCAGGACUACCAGAUGGAGGGAGUGCAUUUUUGGGCGCUCCGAGUGAAGUGCCCUUGGGGGAGGGGGGUUCUGUCAUAUUUCAAGGAAGUAACUCUGGACUUCAUUUCCCAGCAGCCACUGCACCAUAUUACUGUCACAUGACCACCUGCACCUGUAUCAAGUUUUUGUUUAACGAGCACUCAUAUAUAUAUAUAGCCACUGUUUGCACUGCUUCUCUGUUUCAUGUAAUUGUCUUAGACUACCGUGUUCCAUGUUACUGUGUUUUGGUCUUGUUAGUUUAUUGUGUAGUCUACCACAGUGUUUUGCAUCAGUCUAAGUAUCCUUUGUGUUUUGGUUGGUUUAUAUAAUAAAACGUUGAAAAUCUGCGAUUGCUUCCACACCCAUCUUUGAGAUGUGACAGCCAUAGAGUGAAGCUGCUUUAGACAAACACAAAGCACUUAAGGUACACAUUUUGAAUACCACCUGUUAAAAAGUGUUUUAUAGUUUUAGAUUAUGCUUGCUGUGCAGAGGUAUGGAUUGACACAGAAAAGAAUUAGGCGUACUGUUGAGUAAGACACAGAAUUCUUCUAACUCAAUACACACUUAUAACUUGAUCAACA